rnacentral:rRNA from 1 species
GGCUCUGUGGUGAAAGGGGCCUCUGUUUACAAGCUCCUGCUUCUGGAUGAGCCCGCGUCCCAUCAGCUAGUUGGUAGGGUAAUGGCCUACCAAGGCUACGACGGGUAGCUGGUCUAAGAGGAUGGCCAGCCACACUGGAACUGAGACACGGUCCAGACUCCUACGGGAGGCAGCAGUGGGGAAUCUUGCGCAAUGGGCGAAAGCCUGACGCAGCGACGCCGCGUGGGUGACGAAGGCCUUCGGGUUGUAAAGCCCUGUGGGGUAGAACGAACUGGCAUCGGGCUAAUAUCCCGGUGUCUUGACGGUACUGCCUUAGCAAGCAUCGGCUAACUCUGUGCCAGCAGCCGCGGUAAGACAGAGGAUGCGAACGUUGCUCGGAUUUACUGGGCGUAAAGCGCGUGUAGGCGGUCUCGUUAGUCGGGUGUGAAAGCCCCGGGCUCAACCCGGGAAGUGCACCCGAUACUGCGAGACUGGGGUACUG